CGGAUUGUAAAGCACUUUAAGUUGGGAGGAAGGGCAGUAAGUUAAUACCUUGCUGUUUUGACGUUACCGACAGAAUAAGCACCGGCUAACUCUGUGCCAGCAGCCGCGGUAAUACAGAGGGUGCAAGCGUUAAUCGGAAUUACUGGGCGUAAAGCGCGCGUAGGUGGUUCGUUAAGUUGGAUGUGAAAGCCCCGGGCUCAACCUGGGAACUGCAUCCAAAACUGGCGAGCUAGAGUAUGGUAGAGG
rnacentral:rRNA from 1 species